GCCCCCAUCGUCUAAUGGUUUAGGAUAUCAGAUUCUCAUUCUGACGAUACGGGUUCGAAUCCCGUUGGGGGUA
rnacentral:tRNA from 1 species